UUUUACGGAUGAGCAAAGAAAGUGGUUCCUUGAGAUGGAACCUACUCCCAGUAAAGAUGCUGGGAA
rnacentral:pre_miRNA from 1 species